UGGGAGUGGAGCCCGGACUCCAGGUCCCGGGAGGAGAAGCUGCUAGGUCGAAUGCCUGGGUCCUUCUAAAUUUCCUGAAAGAGUUUCUGAAACCCUUGUCAUUUCCUGAGUGACGGGAGUGAGAAGAGCAUCAUUUGUUUCAAUAUUUGGUCUUCAUCCAAGACAGCUCAGAAAACCCUGGAAUCUCCAGAGUCCCGAGAAUGCCUUUCUGUAUGUUAAUGAUGGGGAUCUUCCCGAUCCAGGGAUCGAACCCACGUCUCCUGCAUUGGCAGGCGGAUUCUUCACCACUGAGCCACCUGGAAGCUGAGAAACCCUGGUUCAGAGCACAACGCAAAGCCUUAUUCCCCCCAGUUAACAGUGGAUUAAUUAAACAGUUUCCUGGUUCAGUAGAUUUUCUUGUUCCAGAUCUUGCAACGGAAGACGGGGGUGGAUACAAAUGGGAUGGACUUUUGGAGGGAGCCAUAUAAUCUGAUAUAACUGGCUGACUCAACACCCAGAUGUUCAAAAUGCACUGUGAGAAAAGCUCUAGAAAGAGCAGAACCACGUGCCAACUGUUUACACUCCUCUUCCCGGGCCUUUGAUUUGAUGAGAAAACAUGAGUAACUGUUUUGCUCUGCAAUGUAUAGGCAGCAUCUGCUCUAUGUUCCCAGCGCCUUGCUCGGUCUUGAUAGCAUCUGAUGCAGACUUGUCGAUCAAAUCAUACGUGUCUAUAUGAAUGCUUGUCGAUCAAAUCAUACAUGUCUAUAUGAAUGCCUGUCGAUCAAAUCAUACAUAGCUAUGUGAAUGCCUAUGCAUGUGGCAGGUGCAUGGGUAUUUGAUGAAUAAACAAUUCAACGAAUGAAUGGAAAUCAUGGAUACAUUUUCGAGGAAUAACAAAUACAUUUAGAGAGAGGUUAAGAGUGAGUUUUUAAAAAUGACACUUGC